UCACCAGAUCCGUUUGAAUCUAUCACCAGAUCCGUUUGAUGAGCAGAUCUAGGGUUUCAUGAGAUCUAUCACAAGCUUUAUCUGUCGAACUAGAACCCUAAUCCCUAUUGUAUUGUGUCUGCAGUUCAUCUCGCAUCCAUCCACGUUCUAAUUUCAUAAUGGAAUCAAGCAUCCAUUUCAAAAUCUCAGAUUUCUGGUUUAAUCUUCAAGGAGCCUUUGAAGUUAGGAUUUAAUGUUUGAGCUGGGGGUACGAAGUACCCAGAGCAGAAUAUAUGGUGGUUGACGGUGUUCUACGAACAGCAGGGGGUGGGGUUCUGGCGAGUCGAACUUGACACGGCGAUGGCUAUCGAUUCCGGCAAUGGAAGAUUUGGGUUUUUAGGGUUCUGUUGUUUUUGCCAUUCCGGAAGGACUUUAUAUCUUAUUUUUGUUUGGUUAUGAUUAUUCAUGUCUUAGAUGUAGCUUAAGAAGUCAAUGUCCAGAAGUUACGUUGAUGUUCUGUAUUUAUUGGGUGCAGGAAUAUAGUAGGUUGUGUGAUGGAUCGAAUCCGAAAACUGGGACAAAAUGCCAUAGCCGCCGCCUCCAGCAUGACGGAUAGGGUUCUGAUGAGUUGAAUCUGACCUUAUUUUCUUGACAUAGAUAUUGGUAGUGACUUGACAAGGAUUCAAUGUGACGCUCCAUGCGAUAGCUGUGCCAAGGGAGCACACCCGUAUUACAAACCCGCUGCUAUAACAACAAUUGUGAAUGCAUUUGAAUGUUGAAUUGCAUCUUCCUCUUUGUUAGUGCCUCAAGCACAACCCGUCGCCGCCGUCGGAGACAGAUUUGCUCUCUAAACGGUGGAGUUCACACUUGUUGAUUACAUAUAUACUUGAUAUCGCACGUCUUA